GACGAACGCUGGCGGCGUGCCUAAUACAUGCAAGUAGAACGCUGAAGGAGGAGCUUGCUCUUCUGGAUGAGUUGCGAACGGGUGAGUAACGCGUAGGUAACCUGCCUGGUAGCGGGGGAUAACUAUUGGAAACGAUAGCUAAUACCGCAUAACAGUAGAUGUUGCAUGACAUUUACUUAAAAGGUGCAAUUGCAUCACUACCAGAUGGACCUGCGUUGUAUUAGCUAGUUGGUGGGGUAACGGCUCACCAAGGCGACGAUACAUAGCCGACCUGAGAGGGUGAUCGGCCACACUGAGACUGAGACACGGCCCAGACUCCUACGGGAGGCAGCAGUAGGGAAUCUUCGGCAAUAGACGGAAGUCUGACCGAGCAACGCCGCGUGAGUGAAGAAGGUUUUCGGAUCGUAAAGCUCUGUUGUAAGAGAAGAACGAGUGUGAGAGUGGAAAGUUCACACUGUGACGGUAUCUUACCAGAAAGGGACGGCUAACUACGUG
rnacentral:rRNA from 1 species